rnacentral:rRNA from 1 species
GGAAACGGAUGAAGCCGACGUAUCUAGUGCGUAUUCAGUUGAUUGGCUGGCUGAUCUCUUUUUGGGUAUUCCGCAAGGUUGCUCGAUUUGAGUUGUUGGUUGGUUUGUCGAUGCAUUUGCGUGCAGAGUGCGGUGAGUCGGUUGAUGCCGUCGAUUGAAGUUGCUUGAGAGGACGUGCUUUUCGGAGUUGCGAAACCUUUUGCUUCGGAUGUUGAUUGGUGUUAGCCGGAUUUGUGACACAGGCCCGAGCGGGUCUGGUUUAGCUGUUGAGGCUGGCUUAUGGCGGACGCAUGCGUACGUUGUUUGACGGUUUUGAUGGUUGGGCUGGAUUCUCUGUGUUCAUCUCGCUGUAUAGUUGGUCUCUCAUUCGACCCGUCUUGAAACACGGACCAAGGAGUUUAUGGUGCAUGCGAGUCAUUGGGCUCUUCUUUGAAACCCAUAGGCGUAAUGAAGGUGAAAUUGUAUAGAUUUAGAUGUGAUCGGUUGUGUGUUUCGGCAUGCUCCGAGCAACAUCGCCCCAUUUCGAGAACUUGUUCUGUUGUGGAGGCUGAGCAUGCGCUAUGAGACCCGAAAGAUGGUGAACUAUGCCUGAACAGGAUGAAGCCAG